rnacentral:rRNA from 1 species
GACGAACGCUGGCGGCGUGCUUAACACAUGCAAGUCGAACGGAAAGGCCCUUCGGGGUACUCGAGUGGCGAACGGGUGAGUAACACGUGGGUGAUCUGCCCUGCACUUUGGGAUAAGCCGGGGAAACUGGGUCUAAUACCGAAUAUGACCAUCGGCUUCAUGGUCGGUGGUGGAAAGCUUGUGCGGUGUGGGAUGGGCCCGCGGCCGAUCAGCUUGUUGGUGGGGUAAUGGCCUACCAAGGGGACGACGGGUAGCCGGCCUGAGAGGGUGACCGGCCCCCGUGGGACUGAGAUCCGGCCCAGACUCCUACGGGGGGCAGCAGUGGGGAAUAUUGCACAAUGGGCGCAAGCCUGAUGCAGCGACGCCGCGUGAGGGAUGACGGCCUUCGGGUUGUAAACCUCUUUCAGCACAGACGAAGCGCAAGUGACGGUAUGUGCAGAAGAAGGACCGGCCAACUACGUG